UACGAAGGGUGCAAGCGUUAAUCGGAAUUACUGGGCGUAAAGCGUGCGCAGGCGGCUUUGCAAGACAGAUGUGAAAUCCCCGGGCUUAACCUGGGAACUGCAUUUGUGACUGCAUGGCUGGAGUGCGGCAGAGGGGGAUGGAAUUCCGCGUGUAGCAGUGAAAUGCGUAGAUAUGCGGAGGAACACCGAUGGCGAAGGCAAUCCCCUGGGCCUGCACUGACGCUCAUGCACGAAAGCGUGGGAGCAAACAGG
rnacentral:rRNA from 1 species